AGCCUUAGUAAUGUAAUCACUCCUUUAGAAUUGCAGUCUAAUGUCAUUGUUGACUAUAAAGCC
rnacentral:tRNA from 1 species